rnacentral:rRNA from 1 species
GACGAACGCUGGCGGCGUGCUUAACACAUGCAAGUCGAACGGAAAGGCCCUGCUUUUGUGGGGUGCUCGAGUGGCGAACGGGUGAGUAACACGUGAGUAACCUGCCCUUGACUUUGGGAUAACUUCAGGAAACUGGGGCUAAUACCGGAUAGGAGCUCCUGCUGCAUGGUGGGGGUUGGAAAGUUUCGGCGGUUGGGGAUGGACUCGCGGCUUAUCAGCUUGUGGGUGGGGUAGUGGCUUACCAAGGCUUUGACGGGUAGCCGGCCUGGGAGGGUGACCGGCCACAUUGGGACUGUGAUACGGCCCAGACUCCUACGGGAGGCAGCAGUGGGGAAUAUUGCACAAUGGGCGGAAGCCUGAUGCAGCAACGCCGCGUGCGGGAUGACGGCCUUCGGGUUGUAAACCGCUUUCGCCUGUGACGAAGCGUGAGUGACGGUAAUGGGUAAAGAAGCACCGGCUAACUACGUG